rnacentral:lncRNA from 1 species
CACCUGAGGAGUUUUCCUCUUUGGCUUCCUUAAGAUGAGAUUCUUGCGUUGUUGAGCGGGCAAUGCUUCUGAAUGGGUUGGGCCUGGAGGGGGCGAUCUGCCCUGAGCAGCGGCGAUCUCCGCUACUGAGUUGGGCAUAGUUUGGGAGCCCGACGCCAACCCGUGGGCUCGGGCGAGCGCCCUCAAUUCAGCUAACUUGCUUUUACC